GACCUAAUGGCAAAUUGGUAUCGUGCCCGCGCGUUGUGUGUCUUAAUGUCGGUAUAGUUUUUCAGCGGAAGUCCUGGUUCGACUCCAGGUUAGCUCA